rnacentral:rRNA from 1 species
UACGUAGGGGGCAAGCGUUGUCCGGAAUCAUUGGGCGUAAAGAGCGCGUAGGCGGUCCGGUAAGUCCGCUCUGAAAGUCCGGGGCUCAACCCCGGGAGGCGGGCGGAUACUGCCGGGCUAGAGUCCGGAAGAGGCGAGUGGAAUUCCUGGUGUAGCGGUGGAAUGCGCAGAUAUCAGGAGGAACACCAAUAGCGAAGGCAGCUCGCUGGGACGUUACUGACACUGAGGCGCGAAAGCGUGGGGAGCGAACAGGG